rnacentral:lncRNA from 1 species
GUUUGAGUUGAUUCCAUGUGUUCAGUGAUCGAUAUUCCCAAGGUAAAUCCUACACCUUUAUUAUUUAUAUGAAUGAGAUGAGGUCAGUAGAGGGGUUAGUCAGACAUGAUUAGUUAAGUUGUUGGAUGAAUGGAAUUGGUUGCUAAACUAGGAUAUUGCAUAGAAAGUACGUCUAAGUUAAAAUUUAUUUGAUGUGGUUUGCAAUAU